rnacentral:rRNA from 1 species
CAGCCGCCGCGGUAAUACCGGCGGCCCGAGUGGCGGUCACUAUUAUUGGGCUUAAAGCGUCCGUAGCCGGGUUGGGAAGUCCUCCGGGAAAUCUGGCCGCUUAACGGUCAGAAUGCCGGAGGAUACUCCCAGCCUAGGGAGCGGGAGAGGCCGAGGGUAUUCCCGGAGUAGGGGGGAAAUCCUAUAAUCCCGGGAGGACCACCUGUUGCGAAGGCGCUCGGCUGGAACGCGUCCGACGGUGAGGGACGAAGGCCAGGGGAGCAAACCGGAUUAGAUACCCGGGUAGUCCUGGCUGUAAACGAUGCGGACUUUGUGUCGGACAAGCUAUGAGCUUGUCCGGUGCCGGAGGGAAACCGUUAAGUCCGCCGCCUGGGGAGUACGGCCGCAAGGCUGAAACUUAAAGGAAUUGGCGGG